UUAAUAAAUACACAUCAGCAAUAUAGCACUGAGGACUUACCUCGGAACUUUUUAUAAAUAAUGCCUGGUGUCCCUAUGAUGAAUAACAUGACGUCUCACAAAUACUGGUCAUGGAUCGGCGUUUUUACCGUGUCGAUUCUGUUCUGGAGUCAGCUCAUCUGGCUAGCCCUCCACUAAAUUGUAAAACCUCGCUACGGCGGGGUUUUUUGUUUUC
rnacentral:sRNA from 1 species